AGGUAGCGCCUCGUGAACUCAUCUUCGGGGGUAGAGCACUGUUUCGGCUAGGGGGUCAUCCCGACUUACCAACCCGAUGCAAACUACGAAUACCGAAGAAUGUUAUCACGGGAGACACACGGCGGGUGCUAACGUCCGUCGUGAAGAGGGAAACAACCCAGACCGCCAGCUAAGGUCCCAAAGUCAUGGUUAAGUGGGAAACGAUGUGGGAAGGCACAGACAGCCAGGAUGUUGGCUUAGAAGCAGCCAUCAUUUAAAGAAAGCGUAAUAGCUCACUGGUCGAGUCGGCCUGCGCGGAAGAUGUAACGGGGCUAAACCAUGCACCGAAGCUGCGGCAGCGACACUAUGUGUUGUUGGGUAGGGGAGCGUUCUGUAAGCCUGCGAAGGUGACCUGUGAGGGUUGCUGGAGGUAUCAGAAGUGCGAAUGCUGACAUAAGUAACGAUAAAGCGGGUGAAAAGCCCGCUCGCCGGAAGACCAAGGGUUCCUGUCCAACGUUAAUCG
rnacentral:rRNA from 1 species